rnacentral:rRNA from 1 species
AAACUGCGAAUGGCUCAUUAAAUCAGUUAUCGUUUAUUUGAUAGUACCUUGCUACAUGGAUAACCGUGGUAAUUCUAGAGCUAAUACAUGCUAAAAAUCCCGACUUCGGAAGGGAUGUAUUUAUUAGAUUAAAAACCAAUGNCCUUCGGGGCUCUCUGGUGAUUCAUAAUAACUUCUCGAAUNNCANGGCCUUGCGCCGGCGAUGGUUCAUUCAAAUUUCUGCCCUAUCAACUUUCGACGGCUGGGUCUUGGCCAGCCAUGGUGACAACGGGUAACGGAGGGUUAGGGCUCGACCCCGGAGAAGGAGCCUGAGAAACGGCUACUACAUCCAAGGAAGGCAGCAGGCGCGCAAAUUACCCAAUCCCGACUCGGGGAGGUAGUGACAAUAAAUACUGAUACAGGGCUCUUUUGGGUCUUGUAAUUGGAAUGAGUACAAUUUAAAUCCCUUAACGAGGAACAAUUGGAGGGCAAGUCUGGUGCCAGCAGCCGCGGUAAUUCCAGCUCCAAUAGCGUAUAUUAAAGUUGUUGAGGUUAAAAAGCUCGUAGUUGAACCUUGGGCCUAGCCGGCCGGUCCGCCUCACCGCGUGCACUGGCUCGGCUGGGCCUUUCCUUCUGGAGAACCGCAUGCCCUUCACUGGGUGUGUCGGGGAACCAGGACUUUUACUCUGAACAAAUUAGAUCGCUUAAAGAAGGCCUAUGCUCGAAUACAUUAGCAUGGAAUAAUAGAAUAGGACGUGUGGUUCUAUUUUGUUGGUUUCUAGGACCGCCGUAAUGAUUAAUAGGGACAGUCGGGGGCAUCAGUAUUCAAUUGUCAGAGGUGAAAUUCUUGGAUUUAUUGAAGACUAACUACUGCGAAAGCAUUUGCCAAGGAUGUUUUCAUUAAUCAGGAACGAAAGUUAGGGGAUCGAAGACGAUCACAUACCGUCGUAGUCUUAACCAUAAACUAUGCCGAUUAGGGAUCGGACGAUGUUAUUUUUUGACUCGUUCGGCACCUUACGAUAAAUCAAAAUGUUUGGG